UAGUCACGCCUAGUAUAAGCAAUUAUACCGUGAAACUCGCGAAUGGCUCAUUAAAUCAGUUAUCGUUUAUUUGAUAAUACCUUACUACUUGGAUAACCGUGGUAAUUCUAGAGCUAAUACAUGCUGAAAAUCCCGACUUCGGAAGGGAUGUGUUUAUUAGAUAAAAAACCAAUGCCCUUCGGGGCUUUUUGGUGAUUCAUGAUAACUUUACGGAUCGCAUAGCCUUGCGCUGGCGACGGUUCAUUCAAAUUUCUGCCCUAUCAACUUUCGAUGGUAAGGUAUUGGCUUACCAUGGUUUCAACGGGUAACGGGGAAUUAGGGUUCGAUUCCGGAGAGGGAGCCUGAGAAACGGCUACCACAUCCAAGGAAGGCAGCAGGCGCGCAAAUUACCCAAUCCCGACACGGGGAGGUAGUGACAAUAAAUACUGAUACAGGGCUCUUUUGGGUCUUGUAAUUGGAAUGAGUACAAUUUAAACCUCUUAACGAGGAACAAUUGGAGGGCAAGUCUGGUGCCAGCAGCCGCGGUAAUUCCAGCUCCAAUAGCGUAUAUUAAAGUUGUUGCAGUUAAAAAGCUCGUAGUUGAAACUUGGGCCUGGCUGGCGGGUCCGCCUCACCGCGUGCACUCGUCCCGGCCGGGCCUUCCUUCUGAAGAACCUCAUGCCCUUCACUGGGCGUGCUGGGGAAUCAGGACUUUUACUUUGAAAAAAUUAGAGUGUUCAAAGCAGGCCUUUGCUCGAAUACGUUAGCAUGGAAUAAUAAAAUAGGGCGUGCGUUUCUAUUUUGUUGGUUUCUAGAGACGCCGCAAUGAUUAACAGGAACAGUCGGGGGGCAUCAGUAUUCCGUUGUCAGAGGUGAAAUUCUUGGAUUUACGGAAGACUAACUACUGCGAAAGCAUUUGCCAAGGAUGUUUUCAUUAAUCAGUGAACGAAAGUUACGGGAUCGAAGACGAUCAGAUACCGUCGUAGUCUUAACCGUAAACUAUGCCGACUAGGAUCGGGCGAUGUUCUUUUUCUGACUCGCUCGGCACCUUACGAGAAAUCAAAGUUUUUGGUUCUGGGGGAUUAUGGUCGCAAAGCUGAAACUUAAAGAAAUUGACGGAAGGUCACCACCAAGCGUGGAGCCUGCAGCUUAAUUUGACUCAACACGGGGAAACUCACCAGGUCCAGAUGAAAUAAGGAUUGACAGAUUGAGAGCUCUUUCUUGAUUUUUCAGGUGGUGGUGCAUGGCCGUUCUUAGUUCGUGGGGUGACUUGUCUGCUUAAUUGCGAUAACGAGCGAGACCUUACUCUGCUAAAUAGCCAGGCUAACUU
rnacentral:rRNA from 1 species